rnacentral:rRNA from 1 species
GACGAACGCUGGCGGCGUGCUUAACACAUGCAAGUCGAACGGAAAGGCCCUGCUUUUGUGGUGUGCUCGAGUGGCGAACGGGUGAGUAACACGUGAGUAACCUGCCCUUGACUUUGGGAUAACUUCAGGAAACUGGGGCUAAUACCGGAUAGGAGCUCCUGCUGCAUUGUGGGGGUUGGAAAGUUUCGGCGGUUGGGGAUGGACUCGCGGCUUAUCAGCUUGUUGGUGGGGUAGUGGCUUACCAAGGCUUUGACGGGUAGCCGGCCUGAGAGGGUGACCGGCAAAAUUGGGACUGAGAUACGGCCCAGACUCCUACGGGAGGCAGAAGUGGGGAAUAUUGAACAAUGGGCGGAAGCCUGAUGCAGCAACGCCGCGUGCGGGAUGACGGCCUUCGGGUUGUAACCCGCUUUCGCCUGUGACGAAGCGUGAGUGACGGUAAUGGGUAAAGAAGCACCGGCUAACUACGUG